rnacentral:rRNA from 1 species
UACGAAGGGGCUAGCGUUGCUCGGAAUCACUGGGCGUAAAGCGCACGUAGGCGGAUUGUUAAGUCGGGGGUGAAAUCCUGGAGCUCAACUCCAGAACUGCCUUCGAUACUGGCGAUCUCGAGUCCGGGAGAGGUGAGUGGAACUCCGAGUGUAGAGGUGAAAUUCGUAGAUAUUCGGAAGAACACCAGUGGCGAAGGCGGCUCACUGGCCCGGUACUGACGCUGAGGCACGAAGGUCAGGGGAGCAAACGGG